rnacentral:rRNA from 1 species
GGAAUUUUGCGCAAUGGGUGAAAGCCUGACGCAGCAACGCCGCGUGCGGGAUGACGGCCUUCGGGUUGUAAACCGCUUUCAGUGGGAAAGAUAAUGACGGUACCCACACAAGAAGCUCCGGCUAAAUACGUGCCAGCAGCCGCGGUAAUACGUAUGGAGCAAGCGUUAUCCGGAUUUAUUGGGCGUAAAGCGCGCGUAGGCGGCUUGUUAAGCAAGGUCUUAAAUCUUGGGGCUCAACCUCAAGCCGGAUCUUGAACUGGCAGGCUCGAGUAUGGUAGAGGAAAGUGGAAUUCCCAGUGUAGCGGUGGAAUGCGCAGAUAUUGGGAAGAACACCGAUGGCGAAGGCAGCUUUCUGGGCCAUUACUGACGCUGAGGUGCGAAAGCUAGGGGAGCAAACAGGAUUAGAUACCCUGGUAGUCCUAGCCGUAAACGAUGGGCACUAGGUGUGGGGAGGAUAACCUUUCCGUGCCGCAGCUAACGCAUUAAGUGCCCCGCCUGGGGAGUACGGCCGCAAGGUUGAAACUCAAAGGAAUUGACGGGGGCCCGCACAAGCAGUGGAGUAUGUGGUUUAAUUCGAAGCAACGCGAAGAACCUUACCAGGUCUUGACAUCCGAUGCAUAGCACAGAGAUGUGUGAAAUCCUUCGGGACAUCGAGACAGGUGGUGCAUGGUUGUCGUCAGCUCGUGUCGUGAGGUGUCGGCUUAAGUGCCAUAACGAGCGCAACCCUUAUCUUCAGUUACUAACAGGUUAUGCUGAGGACUCUGGAGAGACUGCCGUCGUAAGAUGUGAGGAAGGUGGGGAUGACGUCAAAUCAGCACGGCCCUUACGUCCGGGGCUACACACGUGUUACAAUGGGGGGUACAGAAGGCCGCUACCUGGUGACAGGAUGCCAAUCCCAAAAACCUCUCUCAGUUCGGAUCGAAGUCUGCAACCCGACUUCGUGAAGCUGGAUUCGCUAGUAAUCGCGCAUCAGCCAUGGCGCGGUGAAUACGUUCCCG